GGGUUGUGAGGUUAAGCGACUAAGCGUACACGGUGGAUGCCCUGGCAGUCAGAGGCGAUGAAGGACGUGCUAAUCUGCGAAAAGCGUCGGUAAGGUGAUAUGAACCGUUAUAGCCGGCGAUGUCCGAAUGGGGAAACCCAGUGUGAUUCGUCACACUAUCGUUAACUGAAUACAUAGGUUAACGAGGCGAACCGGGGGAACUGAAACAUCUAAGUACCCCGAGGAAAAGAAAUCAACCGAGAUUCCC
rnacentral:rRNA from 1 species